GGGUUGUGAGGUUAAGCGACUAAGCGUACACGGUGGAUGCCCUGGCAGUCAGAGGCGAUGAAGGACGUGCUAAUCUGCGAUAAGCGCCGGUAAGGUGAUAUGAACCGUUAUAACCGGCGAUUUCCGAAUGGGGAAACCCAGUGUGAUUCGUCACACUAUCAUUAACUGAAUCCAUAGGUUAAUGAGGCGAACCGGGGGAACUGAAACAUCUAAGUACCCCGAGGAAAAGAAAUCAACCGAGAUUCCCCCAGUAGCGGCGAGCGAACGGGGAGGAGCCCAGAGCCUGAAUCAGCAUGUGUGUUAGUGGAAGCGUCUGGAAAGGCGCGCGAUACAGGGUGACAGCCCCGUACACAAAAGCGCAUGUGCUGUGAGCUCGAUGAGUAGGGCGGGACACGUGGUAUCCUGUCUGAAUAUGGGGGGACCAUCCUCCAAGGCUAAAUACUCCUGACUGACCGAUAGUGAACCAGUACCGUGAGGGAAAGGCGAAAAGAACCCCGGCGAGGGGAGUGAAAAAGAACCUGAAACCGUGUACGUACAAGCAGUGGGAGCACAGGUUUACCUGUGUGACUGCGUACCUUUUGUAUAAUGGGUCAGCGACUUAUAUUCUGUAGCAAGGUUAACCGUAUAGGGGAGCCGCAGGGAAACCGAGUCUUAACCGGGCGUUAAGUUGCAGGGUAUAGACCCGAAACCCGGUGAUCUAGCCAUGGGCAGGUUGAAGGUUGGGUAACACUAACUGGAGGACCGAACCGACUAAUGUUGAAAAAUUAGCGGAUGACCUGUGGCUGGGGGUGAAAGGCCAAUCAAACCGGGAGAUAGCUGGUUCUCCCCGAAAGCUAUUUAGGUAGCGCCUCGUGAAUUCAUCUCCGGGGGUAGAGCACUGUUUCGGCUAGGGGGCCAUCCCGGCUUACCAACCCGAUGCAAACUGCGAAUACCGGAGAAUGUUAUCACGGGAGACACACGGCGGGUGCUAACGUCCGUCGUGAAGAGGGAAACAACCCAGACCGCCAGCUAAGGUCCCAAAGUCAUGGUUAAGUGGGAAACGAUGUGGGAAGGCCCAGACAGCCAGGAUGUUGGCUUAGAAGCAGCCAUCAUUUAAAGAAAGCGUAAUAGCUCACUGGUCGAGUCGGCCUGCGCGGAAGAUGUAACGGGGCUAAACCAUGCACCGAAGCUGCGGCAGCGAACGUAUCACUUAAAGCGAUUCA
rnacentral:rRNA from 1 species